AGCGAACGCUGGCGGCAGGCUUAACACAUGCAAGUCGAGCGGGCGUAGCAAUACGUCAGCGGCAGACGGGUGAGUAACGCGUGGGAACGUACCUUUUGGUUCGGAACAACACAGGGAAACUUGUGCUAAUACCGGAUAAGCCCUUACGGGGAAAGAUUUAUCGCCGAAAGAUCGGCCCGCGUCUGAUUAGCUAGUUGGUAGGGUAAUGGCCUACCAAGGCGACGAUCAGUAGCUGGUCUGAGAGGAUGAUCAGCCACAUUGGGACUGAGACACGGCCCAAACUCCUACGGGAGGCAGCAGUGGGGAAUAUUGGACAAUGGGGGCAACCCUGAUCCAGCCAUGCCGCGUGAGUGAUGAAGGCCCUAGGGUUGUAAAGCUCUUUUGUGCGGGAAGAUAAUGACGGUACCGCAAGAAUAAGCCCCGGCUAACUUCGUGCCAGCCGCCGCAGUAACAC
rnacentral:rRNA from 1 species